rnacentral:lncRNA from 1 species
UGGAAAGGAUAAUAACUCAACAAAAAUGAGAAAGAAAUGCAUUUAAAAACACACUUCAGAAAAAGACAGAAAGACCAUUUCAAUAGCCAAAUAAAUCACCUUUCUAUGUGUCAGUUUUCUUGAAGCACUCAGAGAAAAAAUGUAGAACAUCUAAAACCAGGCUUGAUCUUGAGUACAGCCACAGCAAUGAAACCAUAUGACACAAGAAUAAGAAGAAGAGGAACAAGAACUAUAAUCAGGCACAUGGCAAAUGUGGUUACCUCCAUGGCUGUGGUGUCCACACAUGCAAUCUUGAAUCUU